rnacentral:rRNA from 1 species
GACGAACGCUGGCGGCGUGCUUAACACAUGCAAGUCGAACGGAAAGGCCCUGCUUUUGUGGGGUGCUCGAGUGGCGAACGGGUGAGUAACACGUGAGUAACCUGCCCUUGACUUUGGGAUAACUUCAGGAAACUGGGGCUAAUACCGGAUAGGAGCUCCUGCUGCAUGGUGGGGGUUGGAAAGUUUCGGCGGUUGGGGAUGGACUCGCGGCUUAUCAGCUUGGUGGUGGGGUAGUGGCUUACCAAGGCUUUGACGGGUAGCCGGCCUGAGAGGGUGACCGGCCACAUUGGGACUGAGAUACGGCCCAGACUCCUACGGGAGGCAGCAGUGGGGAAUAUUGCACAAUGGGCGGAAGCCUGAUGCAGCAACGCCGCGUGCGGGAUGACGGCCUUCGGGUUGUAAACCGCUUUCGCCUGUGACGAAGCGUGAGUGACGGUAAUGGGUAAAGAAGCACCGGCUAACUA